rnacentral:rRNA from 4 species
AAAUUGAAGAGUUUGAUCAUGGCUCAGAUUGAACGCUGGCGGCAGGCCUAACACAUGCAAGUCGAGCGGUAGCACAGAGAGCUUGCUCUCGGGUGACGAGCGGCGGACGGGUGAGUAAUGUCUGGGAAACUGCCUGAUGGAGGGGGAUAACUACUGGAAACGGUAGCUAAUACCGCAUAACGUCGCAAGACCAAAGUGGGGGACCUUCGGGCCUCAUGCCAUCAGAUGUGCCCAGAUGGGAUUAGCUAGUAGGUGGGGUAACGGCUCACCUAGGCGACGAUCCCUAGCUGGUCUGAGAGGAUGACCAGCCACACUGGAACUGAGACACGGUCCAGACUCCUACGGGAGGCAGCAGUGGGGAAUAUUGCACAAUGGGCGCAAGCCUGAUGCAGCCAUGCCGCGUGUGUGAAGAAGGCCUUCGGGUUGUAAAGCACUUUCAGCGGGGAGGAAGGCGAUAAGGUUAAUAACCUUGUCGAUUGACGUUACCCGCAGAAGAAGCACCGGCUAACUCCGUGCCAGCAGCCGCGGUAAUACGGAGGGUGCAAGCGUUAAUCGGAAUUACUGGGCGUAAAGCGCACGCAGGCGGUCUGUCAAGUCGGAUGUGAAAUCCCCGGGCUCAACCUGGGAACUGCAUUCGAAACUGGCAGGCUAGAGUCUUGUAGAGGGGGGUAGAAUUCCAGGUGUAGCGGUGAAAUGCGUAGAGAUCUGGAGGAAUACCGGUGGCGAAGGCGGCCCCCUGGACAAAGACUGACGCUCAGGUGCGAAAGCGUGGGGAGCAAACAGGAUUAGAUACCCUGGUAGUCCACGCCGUAAACGAUGUCGAUUUGGAGGUUGUGCCCUUGAGGCGUGGCUUCCGGAGCUAACGCGUUAAAUCGACCGCCUGGGGAGUACGGCCGCAAGGUUAAAACUCAAAUGAAUUGACGGGGGCCCGCACAAGCGGUGGAGCAUGUGGUUUAAUUCGAUGCAACGCGAAGAACCUUACCUGGUCUUGACAUCCACAGAACUUUCCAGAGAUGGAUUGGUGCCUUCGGGAACUGUGAGACAGGUGCUGCAUGGCUGUCGUCAGCUCGUGUUGUGAAAUGUUGGGUUAAGUCCCGCAACGAGCGCAACCCUUAUCCUUUGUUGCCAGCGGUUAGGCCGGGAACUCAAAGGAGACUGCCAGUGAUAAACUGGAGGAAGGUGGGGAUGACGUCAAGUCAUCAUGGCCCUUACGACCAGGGCUACACACGUGCUACAAUGGCAUAUACAAAGAGAAGCGACCUCGCGAGAGCAAGCGGACCUCAUAAAGUAUGUCGUAGUCCGGAUUGGAGUCUGCAACUCGACUCCAUGAAGUCGGAAUCGCUAGUAAUCGUAGAUCAGAAUGCUACGGUGAAUACGUUCCCGGGCCUUGUACACACCGCCCGUCACACCAUGGGAGUGGGUUGCAAAAGAAGUAGGUAGCUUAACCUUCGGGAGGGCGCUUACCACUUUGUGAUUCAUGACUGGGGUGAAGUCGUAACAAGGUAACCGUAGGGGAACCUGCGGUUGGAUCACCUCCUUA